rnacentral:lncRNA from 1 species
CUCUCCUCCAUCUAGUUUGUCAGAGGAUAGUCAGUCUUAUCUUAUCAACCAGCGAGUUCCCUUCUCAAUAACUGAGUCCAGACCGUAUUUCUAAAGAGAUUUGAAAUAGCACAUGGUAAGGAAAAUACAGCUGUUUGAGCUGUCUGUUAUUGUCCUGAGGUGGUGUUAUUAUCCUGAGGUGGUGUUAUUGUCCUGAGGUUGUGUUAUUAUCCUGAGGUGGUGUUAUUGUCCUGAGGUGGUGUUAUUGUCCUGAGGUGGUGUUAUUGUCCUGAGGUGGUGUUAUUAUCCUGAGGUGGUGUUAUUGUCCUGAGGUGGUGUUAUUGUCCUGAGGUGGUGUUAUUGUCCUGAGGUGGUGUUAUUAUCCUGAGGUGGUGUUAUUAUCCUGAGGUGGUGUUAUUAUCCUGAGGUUGUGUGAGAGACUAUAUGAGAGAAGGUGUGAGGGCUGGUGUGUGGAGUCUCUUGGGCCACAACAUGUCUGUCAGCUGAUGAUAGAAACGUCAGCGGUGAGUUGAACGAUCGUAGCAUGUAGAGAACGCACUGACCCAGAUAUGCCCCUCCCCUUCCUCUUUAGUGCCCCUCCC